GACGAACGCUGGCGGCGCGCUUAACACAUGCAAGUCGAGCGAAGCGGCGGACGGGUGAGUAACACGUGAGUAACCUGCCUUAGACAUUGGGAUAGCCUCGGGAAACCGGGAUUAAUACAAAAUGGUCUAAGAUGGACUCGCGUCCUAUCAGCUUGUUGGUGGGGAAGUGGCCUACCAAGGGGAUGACGGGUAGCCGGCCUGAGAGGGCUACCGGCCAAAUUGGGACUGAGCUACUGCCCAAACUCUACGGGAGGCAGCAGUGGGGAAUAUUGCACAAUGGGGGAAACCCUGAUGCAGCAACGCCGCGUGCGGGAUGACGGCCUUCGGGUUGUAAACCGCUUUCAGCCAUGACGCGGUAGUGGCAGAAGAAGCACCGGCUAACUACGUGCCAGCCGCCGCGGUAAUAC
rnacentral:rRNA from 1 species